AUUGAACGCUGGCGGCAGGCCUAACACAUGCAAGUCGAGCGGAUGAAGGGAGCUUGCUCCUGGAUUCAGCGGCGGACGGGUGCGUAAUGCCUAGGAAUCUGCCUGGUAGUGGGGGAUAACGUCCGGAAACGGGCGCUAAUACCGCAUACGUCCUGAGUGAGAAAGUGGGGGAGCUUCGGACCUCACGCAAUCAGAUGAGCCUAGGUCGGAUUAGGUAGUUGGGGGGGUAAAGGCCUACCAAGGCGACGAUCCGUAACUGGUCUGAGAGGAUGAUCAGUCACACUGGAGCUGAGACACGGUCCAGACUCCUACGGGAGGCAGCAGUGGGGAAUAUUGGACAAUGGGCGAAAGCCUGAUCCAGCCAUGCCGCGUGUGUGAAGAAGGUCUUCGGAUUGUAAAGCACUUUAAGUUGGGAGGAAGGGCAGUAAGUUAAUACCUUGCUGUUUUGACGGUACCAACAGAAUAAGCACCGGCUAACUUCGUG
rnacentral:rRNA from 1 species